CUAUCAACAGAGAGAAGCGAAGCCGCGAGGCGGAGCAAACCUCNGAAAAAUAGUCUCAGUUCGGAUCGCAGGCUGCAACCCGCCUGCGUGAAGCCGGAAUUGCUAGUAAUCGCGGAUCAGCAUGCCGCGGUGAAUACGUUCCCGGGCCUUGUACACACCGCCCGUCACACCAUGGAAGUUGGGGGCGCCCGAAGUUGCCUAAGAAAUAAGGUACCUAAGGCGAAACCAAUGACUGGGGUGAAGUCGUAACAAGGUAAC
rnacentral:rRNA from 1 species